GAGGCAGGCCAUAGCGGCGGAGGCCAUUGCAGCAAACAGUGCUGGAUGGUGACUGCGGAGGCUGCCAUGACACAGGCCUCAGUGGCGGUGGCAGCGCAGACUGCAGCAGCCAAGGCCUUUGGAGCGUUCCAGUGAAGAUAUAGAUAUCAUAUUCACCCGCCUCAAAGAAGUGAAAGCUUUUGAAAAAUUUCAUCCAAAUCUUCUCCAGCAAAUAUGUCUCUGUGGUUAUUAUGAACACUUGGAAAAGGGAAUUACAUUAUUUCGGCAAGGUGACAUAGGAACAAAUUGGUAUGCUGUGCUGACCGGAUCUUUGGAUGUUAAAGUUUCUGACACAAGCAACCACCAGGAUGCCGUGACAAUAUGCACCUUGGGAAUAGGAACGGCCUUCGGAGAGUCGAUUUUGGAUAACACCCCUCGCCAUGCUACUAUUGUCACGAGGGAAGGCAGCGAGCUGCUGCGAAUUGAGCAGAAGGAUUUCAAGGCACUUUG